UAUAAAUACCACACUUCCCGUUCCAUCCGGAGAGCGCGGGAGAGGGAAGAACAAGGAGAACAGGAGAUGGCGGUGAGACUCCACGAAACGGUACUCAGAGGCUUGAGGGGAAGGGCGUCCCGAGACAUCUUCUCGAGCUCUAGCCUUCUAAACCGCCGGAACAUGUCGUCCGGGUCGUCGCGGAAGAAGAAGGAGGGGGACAAAAAUGGCAGUGGCCUCGCGGAGUUUAUCGAGAUCAAGGUCUCCGAGGGAUCCGUCCUCGACGAAGAGGUGAAGCGGCUCGAGGACGCAAUCUACGCUUUCAUGGUCCGGCAGGCUGCGCCGGCGUGGCUCCCGUUCCGGCCGGGGUUUUCGUACUGGGUCCCGCCUCGCGAGAGCACGUCAGCCGCCGCCGCCUCGAUGAACAUCACGAAUCUGAUCGGAGGGAUGGUUCAUCUGAUGACGGUGGAGGAGUCGCUGUCCUUGACCACUGCAAGGGGGUGGCCUUCUUAUGUCUAUUACGUCGAAGGUGCAUCUACUCAUUCGGGGGAAGUCACCUCUAAAUCCGCAGAGUCUGAUGAAGAUGAGGGAUAAAAUGUCUUUGCAUAACUACUGAAUGCAGGAGUGGGCUGCAUGGACGGGCACAUUCUAGUUCGUCUGAAUGAUGAAGUCCUUGUCGUCGUUGGAUAGUUGAAGUUAUUACUGGGGACGCUCCUGUUGGCGAAAAUGCUUCCUUUUGUCGAGUAAGUUAUCCCAGCAAUGAUUUCAAAGUGUUAAAAUGGAAAAGCUUUGCAUGGGAAGUUCUGGUGGGACGGGCCUUGGCUGUCAUACGGACGGUCAAGCUUCCAUUGAAAAGCUGAAGUUCGGUGUACUUCAGGUUUAACUCUUUCCAACUAUUGUGUACGCUUCCUUUGAAGUAUUGUAUGGGCUUAGGGAGAGAAUCUCUAGUCUGAGAACGAUGACAAAGAUCGUGGUGGUCCACCUCAGCAAAAGAGACGAAGGCCUCUCCAUGAAUCAGCACGACAUUCCGGCGGAACACAAGGUAUGCCUUACAUAUGGCAAGCUAAAUGAACAUGUGCAUGAUGGUCACGUUUUCCUAGAGAGAGAAACAGAUAACUGUGGAAACGUGUAGAAACUGUCCAAACGCCUCAAAUUUCAACCAUAAGUUUUAAAACUCAAGGAGGUGCCAUACUGCCAUGUGUUGUGAAAAAAGCUGAUUGCAAGCAUGUAUAAGAGUGCUUCUGAUAC